UACCAGGUUUCACUCUGGGGUGUUGCUUCCCCAGUCGGCAGUUUAAUUACUGCACACCUGGGCUCCAGAAAAGAUUAUGUCUCACCUGCUCUAAGCUGGAACACUGUAACACCAGUCACAUGCAGGAGAAGACGUGAAUAUCUACGUAAAAUGUGCCCACAUAAACCUGGAUUGGAUGAACAGGACCCAUCUGAUUCUUCUCUCAGAACCUGAGAAUUGGGACGAUUCCCCCAAACCCACAUGGACUACCUAGAGUGACAGAGGAAACAGAAGCUGGAGAGGUGGCCAGCAGGCACUGGGUUGAGUGCAGACGGAGGCAGAAAGGAAGAAGGCAGGCUGCAGUGAGGAUGGGGCAUUCCCAGGCCAAGUGAGGCCCCUGCAAGCAAACAAGAGGAGGAGCCACCAGACAAUCAAAGAGGGAAGCCAAGAAAGGGGACAAGGGAACUGGAGAAGCAAUAUGGGAAAGAAGCACGAGCUACUUAAAUGCUGUGGUGAUAAAUCCAAAUGAGGAAAAAUCCAAGUGCUCAUUCUUUGUUUUUGUUUUCUAUGUGGUUAAUAGUCCUGAGACUUUUGCACACUAUUGCAGAAAUACAUAAUCGAGCCUUUUAUUUCAUAAUUGAUGGCAC